rnacentral:tRNA from 1 species
AGCUUUCGGGCCCAUACCCCGAACAUGUUGGUUAAACCCCCCCCUUUACUA